GAAUACUUUGAUAUUGUUUCAGGUAGUCCAAAAAUAUUGAGUUUGAAAAGCUUCUUCAAGGAUGCCAAAGUUGAAGAUUUUGCAAGUUGGAGAUGAUUUUGAAGUCUUUUGGGAGUAUCAAAUUCAUUCAAAUCUAUUUAAGAGUGUUUGGUAGUAUUUUGAUAAGUUUCAAACUUUAAAUAUAUGAAAAAUAAGGUUAGAACAAAAUGGGACGACCCAAUUGGGUCAUUCCCUUGAAAAAGGAAGCCGACACGCACCUAUUUUGGCUUAUGGCACGCAAUGGGGCAUCCUAUGGGUCAACCCCUACGACCCUG
rnacentral:lncRNA from 1 species